CGGGUGGCAAGAUCUCCAAAACUUCUAAUGCUUCCGGCCUCCAGGCUGUUAAACCAUGCCCGCGCCGGUCCCGAGAGCGUUGUUGGGAACACCUUACACAUUAAGGCAUCUGACAGGGUUUGCAACUCCAUGAAGGUCUUAUAGUUCAUGACAUGCUCUCUCGGGUUACCAGCUCCAUUAUAGGCCGCCAUCGGCGGCAUCAUAAACUUCUUGGGAACGGUCUCCUGCUGCACUAUCUUUGAGAAAGGAGAAGAAGUGGGCAAGGAGGUUUGGCUCUGAUCUUUCUUAC
rnacentral:lncRNA from 1 species